GGCCUUCUGAAUCCAUGCCGAGAUUUCGUCAGACACCACACCAUCAGUACUGAUGAGACUCCCAAGAUAAAUAAAAACA
rfam:Schistosoma curassoni strain Dakar, Senegal genome assembly, scaffold: SCTD_scaffold0007047